GAUGAAGAAGUAGCGAAAUGCGAUAAGUAAUGUGAAUUGCAGAAUUCAGUGAAUCAUCGAAUCUUUGAACGCACAUUGCGCCCGCCAGUAUUCUGGCGGGCAUGCCUGUUCGAGCGUCAUUUCAACCAUCAAGCCCCAGGCUUGUGUUGGGGACCUGCGGCUGCCGCAGGCCCUGAAAACCAGUGGCGGGCUCGCUGUCACACCGGGCGUAGUAGAUUUUAUCUCGCUCAGGGCGUGCUGCGGGUUCCGGCCGUUAAAAAGCCUUUUUUACCCAAGGUUGACCUCGGAUCAGGUAGGAAGACCCGCUGAACUUAAGCAUAUCAAUAAGCGGAGGA
rnacentral:misc_RNA from 1 species